ensembl:misc_RNA Metazoa_SRP Metazoan signal recognition particle RNA
GCCGGGUGUGGUGGUGCAUGCCUGUAGUUCCAGCUACUUGGGAGGCUAAGGUUGGGGGAUUGCUUGAGCCCAGGAGGUCAAGGCUGCAGUGAGCCGAGAUUGUGCCACUGCACUCCAGUCUGGGUAACAGAGCAAGACCCUGUCUCAA